rnacentral:rRNA from 1 species
GGGGCAACCUGGCGGCGAGCGGCGAACGGGUGAGUAAUGCAUCGGAACAUGUCCAUACAUGGGGGAUAGCCCGGCGAAAGCCGGAUUAAUACCGCAUACGCCCGAGAGGGGAAAGUGGGGGACCGCAAGGCCUCACGCGGAUGGGUUGGCCGAUGCCCGAUUAGCUAGUUGGCGGGGUAAGAGCCCACCAAGGCGAUGAUCGGUAGCUGGUCUGAGAGGAUGAUCAGCCACACUGGGACUGAGACACGGCCCAGACUCCUACGGGAGGCAGCAGUGGGGAAUUUUGGACAAUGGGGGCAACCCUGAUCCAGCCAUUCCGCGUGAGUGAAGAAGGCCUUCGGGUUGUAAAGCUCUUUUGUCCGGAACGAAACGGUUACGGCUAAUACCCGUGACUACUGACGGUACCGGAAGAAUAAGCACCGGCUAACUACGUGCCAGCAGCCGCGGUAAUACGUAGGGUGCGAGCGUUAAUCGGAAUUACUGGGCGUAAAGCGUGCGCAGGCGGUUUUGUAAGCCAGAUGUGAAAUCCCCGGGCUUAACCUGGGAAUGGCAUUUGGGACUGCAAGGCUUGAGUGCGGCAGAGGAGACUGGAAUUCCUGGUGUAGCAGUGAAAUGCGUAGAUAUCAGGAGGAACACCGAUGGCGAAGGCAGGUCUCUGGGCUGACACUGACGCUCAUGCACGAAAGCGUGGGGAGCAAACAGGAUUAGAUACCCUGGUAGUCCACGCCCUAAACGAUGUCGACUGGUUGUUGGGGGUUUGACACUCUCAGUAACGAAGCUAACGCGUGAAGUCGACCGCCUGGGGAGUAC